GAUGAACGCUGGCGGCGUGCCUAAUACAUGCAAGUCGAGCGAACAGACGAGGAGCUUGCUCCUUCGACGUUAGCGGCGGACGGGUGAGUAACACGUAGGUAACCUACCUAUAAGACUGGGAUAACUUCGGGAAACCGGAGCUAAUACCGGAUAAUAUUUCGAACCGCAUGGUUCGAUCGUGAAAGAUGGCUUUGCUAUCACUUAUAGAUGGACCUGCGCCGUAUUAGCUAGUUGGUAAGGUAACGGCUUACCAAGGCAACGAUACGUAGCCGACCUGAGAGGGUGAUCGGCCACACUGGAACUGAGACACGGUCCAGACUCCUACGGGAGGCAGCAGUAGGGAAUCUUCCGCAAUGGGCGAAAGCCUGACGGAGCAACGCCGCGUGAGUGAUGAAGGUCUUCGGAUCGUAAAACUCUGUUAUUAGGGAAGAACAAACGUGUAAGUAACUGUGCACGUCUUGACGGUACCUAAUCAGAAAGCCACGGCUAACUACGUG
rnacentral:rRNA from 1 species